rnacentral:rRNA from 1 species
UACGGGGGGGGCAAGCGUUGUUCGGAAUUACUGGGCGUAAAGAGCUCGUAGGCGGCUUGUUGCGUCUAUCGUGAAAACCUGCAGCUUAACUGUGGGCUUGCGGUGGAUACGGGCAGACUUGAGUUCGGUAGGGGAGACUGGAAUUCCUGGUGUAGCGGUGAAAUGCGCAGAUAUCAGGAGGAACACCGGUGGCGAAGGCGGGUCUCUGGGCCGAUACUGACGCUGAGGAGCGAAAGCGUGGGGAGCGAACAGG